rnacentral:tRNA from 1 species
UAUGUUUUAGUAUAGGAUGUACAGAAGUUUUUGAUACUUCAGGAGGUAGUUUGAAUUUACCAAAUAUAA